GGCUUUCUUCGCGCGGGAGCUCGACCCGCGACUGCCGAGGUGACCGUGUUCAUCGACGAGGUACGUGAGGAACUCGGGGUCGAGCCGGUCUGCGAGGUGCUGCAGUUCGCUCCG
rfam:Streptomyces sp. NBRC 110611 DNA, contig: scaffold00031.